rnacentral:RNase_P_RNA from 1 species
GAAGCUGACCAGACAGUCGCCGCUUCGUCGUCGUCCUUUCGGGGAGACGGGCGGAGGGGAGGAAAGUCCGGGCUCCAUAGGGCAGGGUGCCAGGUAACGCCUGGGGGGGGGAAACCCACGACCAGUGCAACAGAGAGCAAACCGCCGAUGGCCCACGUAAGUGGGAUCAGGUAAGGGUGAAAGGGUGCGGUAAGAGCGCACCGCGCGGCUGGUAACAGUCCGUGGCACGGUAAACUCCACCCGGAGCAAGGCCAAAUAGGGGUUCAUAAGGUACGGCCCGUACUGAACCCGGGUAGGCUGCUUGAGCCAGUGAGCGAUUGCUGGCCUAGAUGAAUGACUGUCCACGACAGAACCCGGCUUAUCGGUCAGUUUCACUU